rnacentral:misc_RNA from 1 species
AUGAUUGCGAAUGGUUACCUUCGGUGCUGGCUGGCUCACUUGUGAGCAAGUAAAGUGCACGUUGGUGGCUUUCAUCCACUCCCACACUUGUGAACCUUUGACCUCUUGCUGGCUUCGGCUGAGAGGGGUAUUUUUUACACCACACUUGAAUGUAAUGAAACAGAUGUAUUGUAUUGUGCGUGAGCACUAAUGUA